GGGGGCUGGUGCUCCGACAGGGUGUAGUGGCAUAAUCGAAGGUCUGACAAUGGCGGCCGAUGGGGACAACAGUGGGUGGCCAGCAGCAAGGGUCGAUUGGUGGGGAAAAUUAAGAAAAAAUUAGAAAAACAGAGGUUUCUCUUUGAGGUCGAUCUCUGGCAAAAUCAGUGGUCGGUGACGGCAUUAAACAUCAUGAGAAGAAGGGAAAUAGAGAGAGGAGGAA
rnacentral:lncRNA from 1 species